rnacentral:rRNA from 1 species
UCGGGCUUAGCGGCGGACGGGUGAGUAACGCGUGGGAAACGUACCCAUUCCUGCGGAAAUAGGCUCUGGAAAACGGGGUUUAAUACCGCAUACGCCCUUCGGGGGAAAGAAUUUCGGGGAUGGAUCGGCCCGCGUUGGAUUAGGUAGUUGGUGGGGUAAAAGCCUACCAAGCCGACGAUCCAUAGCUGGUUUUAGAGGAUGAUCAGCCACACUGGGACUGAGACACGGCCCAGACUCCUACGGGAGGCAGCAGUGGGGAAUCUUAGACAAUGGGGGCAACCCUGAUCUAGCCAUGCCGCGUGAGUGAUGAAGGUCUUAGGAUCGUAAAGCUCUUUCGCCGGGGAAGAUAAUGACGGUACC